CUGGCGGCAUGCUUUCACAUGCAAGUCGGACGGCAGCACAGAGAAGCUUGCUUCUUGGGUGGCGAGUGGCGAACGGGUGAGUAAUAUAUCGGAACGUACCGAGUAGUGGGGGAUAACUAAUCGAAAGAUUAGCUAAUACCGCAUACGUCUUGAGAGAGAAAGCAGGGGAUCUUCGGACCUUGCGCUAUUCGAGCGGCCGAUAUCUGAUUAGCUAGUUGGUGGGGUAAAGGCCUACCAAGGCGACGAUCAGUAGCGGGUCUGAGAGGAUGAUCCGCCACACUGGGACUGAGACACGGCCCAGACUCCUACGGGAGGCAGCAGUGGGGAAUUUUGGACAAUGGGCGCAAGCCUGAUCCAGCCAUGCCGCGUGUCUGAAGAAGGCCUUCGGGUUGUAAAGGACUUUUGUCAGGAACGAAAAGGGCUGUGCUAAUACCACGGUCUGAUGACGGUACCUGAAGAAUAAGCACCGGCUAACUACGUGCCAGCAGCCGCGGUAAU
rnacentral:rRNA from 1 species